CCGCCCUCCUCCUGCCCGCAUCCGGGGGCACCCAGGUUCCCAGCGACGCCGGACGUGAGGACCUGGCUGCGGAGCAGGAUUUGCCCAAGGAGAUCAUCCUGGGUGCAGGAGCCGUGGAGCCGCCGCAGGAGGCUGAGAUGAGCAGAGAGGUGGUACCAGGGAUCAAGGUCUUCUCCAGCAGCGCUGCAGCUCAAGGGAGCCCCGGCCAAGCCCGGGUGGGACCCGAGAAGGACCUUGACCAUCUCCACCACCCCGAGGACCAUGCCAAGGAGGCCGAUGUCCGCGGGCCACCCCGGAUGCCCUCCCCACAGGUGCAGAGGGGCCUGGAGAAGGACCUCGACCACCUCCACCACGGCUGAGCUGAGCUGCCCCUGGGGCUUCCCGAGGGGCCUGGUACCCCCCUCCCCACCCAUGAGCCCCCAAUAAACCCAUUUGG
rnacentral:lncRNA from 1 species